CCACAGAGCAGAAUGGGGCACCUGGGAUUCACCUUUAUGUCUGGAAAAUAUUGUCAACUCAACAGGACCCAGGAUCACCGAAGAGACAACCCAAUAGGCAUGUCUGAGAAGGAGCUUCUAGAUUAGGUUAACUGAAGUAGGAAUACCCACUUAAUUGUAGGCAGCAUCAUUCCACAGGCUGGGGAUCUGGACUGAAUAAAAAGAGAAAGCAAGCUGAGCACCAGCUUUCUCUCUGCACGCCUGACUGUUCCCAUGAAGAUUGUGUAAUUUCCUUGCCGUAUUUCAAACAGAUUUGGACUAAUGCAUUAUUGACAGCACCCUUGCAGACCAUCACCACAAUGUCAUUCAGGAUAAUUAUUUCACAACAGAUUUCCAGGGCCUCUGGUUCCUGUUGGGAUUCACUUGGGCAUAAAUUACAGAGCCGAAUAUUUAAUCAGUGUCCCCAUUAGAAC